GCGGCCGUGGCUAAAUAGGUAGAAGCGCAGCGCUUAGGACGCUGUGGGAGAAAUCCCGUGUGGGUUCGAGUCCCACCGGCCGCA
rnacentral:tRNA from 1 species